rnacentral:rRNA from 1 species
CGAAAGCCUGACGGAGCAAUACCGCGUGAGGGAGGAAGGCUCUAGGGUUGUAAACCUCUUUUCUCAGGGAAGAACAAAAUGACGGUACCUGAGGAAUAAGCAUCGGCUAACUCCGUGCCAGCAGCCGCGGUAAUACGGAGGAUGCAAGCGUUAUCCGGAUUUAUUGGGCGUAAAGCGUCCGCAGGUGGCAGUUCAAGUCUGCUGUCAAAGGUCGGGGCUCAACCCCGAACAGGCAGUGGAAACUGAACAGCUAGAGUACGGUAGGGGUAGAGGGAAUUCCCAGUGUAGCGGUGAAAUGCGUAGAGAUUGGGAAGAACACCGGUGGCGAAAGCGCUCCGCUAGGCCGAAACUGACACUCAUGGACGAAAGCUAGGGGAGCG